GGGUUGUGAGGUUAAGCGACUAAGCGUACACGGUGGAUGCCCUGGCAGUCAGAGGCGAUGAAGGGCGUGCUAAUCUGCGAUAAGCGCCGGUAAGGUGAUAUGAACCGUUAUAACCGGCGAUACCCGAAUGGGGAAACCCAGUGUGACUCGUCACACUAUCAUUAACUGAAUCCAUAGGUUAAUGAGGCGAACCGGGGGAACUGAAACAUCUAAGUACCCCGAGGAAAAGAAAUCAACCGAGAUUCCCCCAGUAGCGGCGAGCGAACGGGGAGGAGCCCAGAGCCUGAAUCAGCAUGUGUGUUAGUGGAAGCGUCUGGAAAGGCGCGCGAUACAGGGUGACAGCCCCGUACACAAAAGCGCAUGUGCUGUGAGCUCGAUGAGUAGGGCGGGACACGUGGUAUCCUGUCUGAAUAUGGGGGGACCAUCCUCCAAGGCUAAAUACUCCUGACUGACCGAUAGUGAACCAGUACCGUGAGGGAAAGGCGAAAAGAACCCCGGCGAGGGGAGUGAAAAAGAACCUGAAACCGUGUACGUACAAGCAGUGGGAGCCCCACCACUAAGCCAGUGGUGAACUCCACAUACGCAUCCUUUGCUGAGGAGACGGUUAACGGAGCGAAAGCGACGUUCAACCUCAAAACAAGCAGAGGGGGCUUAGUGGUGGGGUGACUGCGUACCUUUUGUAUAAUGGGUCAGCGACUUAUAUUCUGUAGCAAGGUUAACCGAAUAGGGGAGCCGGAGGGAAACCGAGUCUUAAUUGGGCGUUAAGUUGCAGGGUAUAGACCCGAAACCCGGUGAUCUAGCCAUGGGCAGGUUGAAGGUUGGGUAACACUAACUGGAGGACCGAACCGACUAAUGUUGAAAAAUUAGCGGAUGACCUGUGGCUGGGGGUGAAAGGCCAAUCAAACCGGGAGAUAGCUGGUUCUCCCCGAAAGCUAUUUAGGUAGCGCCUCGUGAAUUCAUCUCCGGGGGUAGAGCACUGUUUCGGCUAGGGGGCCAUCCCGGCUUACCAACCCGAUGCAAACUGCGAAUACCGGAGAAUGUUAUCACGGGAGACACACGGCGGGUGCUAACGUCCGUCGUGAAGAGGGAAACAACCCAGACCGCCAGCUAAGGUCCCAAAGUCAUGGUUAAGUGGGAAACGAUGUGGGAAGGCCCAGACAGCCAGGAUGUUGGCUUAGAAGCAGCCAUCAUUUAAAGAAAGCGUAAUAGCUCACUGGUCGAGUCGGCCUGCGCGGAAGAUGUAACGGGGCUAAACCAUGCACCGAAGCUGCGGCAGCGACGCUGAUGCGUUGUUGGGUAGGGGAGCGUUCUGUAAGCCUGCGAAGGUGGCCUGUGAGGGUUGCUGGAGGUAUCAGAAGUGCGAAUGCUGACAUAAGUAACGAUAAAGCGGGUGAAAAGCCCGCUCGCCGGAAGACCAAGGGUUCCUGUCCAACGUUAAUCGGGGCAGGGUGAGUCGACCCCUAAGGCGAGGCCGAAAGGCGUAGUCGAUGGGAAACGGGUUAAUAUUCCCGUACUUGGUGUUACUGCGAAGGGGGGACGGAGAAGGCUAUGUUGGCCGGGCGACGGUUGUCCCGGUUUAAGCGUGUAGGUGUGUGUUCCAGGUAAAUCCGGUUCACUUUAACACUGAGGCGUGACGACGAGGCACUACGGUGCUGAAGCAACAAAUGCCCUGCUUCCAGGAAAAGCCUCUAAGCAUCAGGUAACAUCAAAUCGUACCCCAAACCGACACAGGUGGUCAGGUAGAGAAUACCAAGGCGCUUGAGAGAACUCGGGUGAAGGAACUAGGCAAAAUGGUGCCGUAACUUCGGGAGAAGGCACGCUGACACGUAGGUGAAGUGAUUUACUCAUGGAGCUGAAGUCAGUCGAAGAUACCAGCUGGCUGCAACUGUUUAUUAAAAACACAGCACUGUGCAAACACGAAAGUGGACGUAUACGGUGUGACGCCUGCCCGGUGCCGGAAGGUUAAUUGAUGGGGUCAGCGCAAGCGAAGCUCCUGAUCGAAGCCCCGGUAAACGGCGGCCGUAACUAUAACGGUCCUAAGGUAGCGAAAUUCCUUGUCGGGUAAGUUCCGACCUGCACGAAUGGCGUAAUGAUGGCCAGGCUGUCUCCACCCGAGACUCAGUGAAAUUGAACUCGCUGUGAAGAUGCAGUGUACCCGCGGCAAGACGGAAAGACCCCGUGAACCUUUACUAUAGCUUGACACUGAACAUUGAGCCUUGAUGUGUAGGAUAGGUGGGAGGCUUUGAAGCGUGGACGCCAGUCUGCGUGGAGCCGACCUUGAAAUACCACCCUUUAAUGUUUGAUGUUCUAACGUGGACCCGUUACCCGGGUUGCGGACAGUGUCUGGUGGGUAGUUUGACUGGGGCGGUCUCCUCCUAAAGAGUAACGGAGGAGCACGAAGGUUGGCUAAUCCUGGUCGGACAUCAGGAGGUUAGUGCAAUGGCAUAAGCCAGCUUGACUGCGAGCGUGACGGCGCGAGCAGGUGCGAAAGCAGGUCAUAGUGAUCCGGUGGUUCUGAAUGGAAGGGCCAUCGCUCAACGGAUAAAAGGUACUCCGGGGAUAACAGGCUGAUACCGCCCAAGAGUUCAUAUCGACGGCGGUGUUUGGCACCUCGAUGUCGGCUCAUCACAUCCUGGGGCUGAAGUAGGUCCCAAGGGUAUGGCUGUUCGCCAUUUAAAGUGGUACGCGAGCUGGGUUUAGAACGUCGUGAGACAGUUCGGUCCCUAUCUGCCGUGGGCGCUGGAGAACUGAGGGGGGCUGCUCCUAGUACGAGAGGACCGGAGUGGACGCAUCACUGGUGUUCGGGUUGUCAUGCCAAUGGCACUGCCCGGUAGCUAAAUGCGGAAGAGAUAAGUGCUGAAAGCAUCUAAGCACGAAACUUGCCCCGAGAUGAGUUCUCCCUGAGACUUAGAGUCUCCUGAAGGAACGUUGAAGACGACGACGUUGAUAGGCCGGGUGUGUAAGCGCAGCGAUGCGUUGAGCUAACCGGUACUAAUGAACCGUGAGGCUUAACCUUACAACGCCGAAG
rnacentral:rRNA from 1 species